rnacentral:rRNA from 1 species
UGGGGAAUCUUGCGCAAUGGGCGAAAGCCUGACGCAGCAACGCCGCGUGAGCGAAGAAGGCCUUCGGGUUGUAAAGCUCUGUCAGGGGGAAAGAAGGCACCUGGGUUAAUAGCCCAAGGGCUGACGGUACCCCCAAAGGAAGCCACGGCUAACUACGUGCCAGCAGCCGCGGUAAUACGUAGGUGGCGAGCGUUGUCCGGAAUCAUUGGGCGUAAAGAGCGCGUAGGUGGCUUGUCAGGUCCGAUGUGAAAACCUGGGGCUCAACUCCAGGCCUGCAUCGGAAACCGGCUUGCUAGAGUCUGGGAGAGGAGAGUGGAAUUCCUGGUGUAGCGGUGAAAUGCGUAGAUAUCAGGAGGAACACCGGUAGCGAAGGCGGCUCUCUGGAACAGUACUGACGCUGAGGCGCGAAAGCUAGGGGAGCGAACAG